rnacentral:rRNA from 1 species
UUGAGAAUUUUGCGCAAUGGGGGCAACCCUGACGCAGCGACGCCGCGUGGACGAUGAAGGCCUUUGGGUUGUAAAGUCCAAAUAACAGGGAAGAAUAAGCGGGUAUUAAUACUGCCCGUGAUGACGGUACCUGUCUAAAGCCCCGGCUAAUUACGUGCCAGCAGCCGCGGUAAUACGUAUGGGGCGAGCGUUGUUCGGAAUUAUUGGGCGUAAAGGGCGUCUAGGCGGGGGAUUAAGUUAGGUGUGAAAGCCAUGGGCUCAACCCGUGAAUUGCACUUAAAACUGGUUCUCUUGAGUUCGGGAGAGGAGAGCGGAAUUCCAGGUGUAGCGGUGAAAUGCGUAGAUAUCUGGAAGAACACCAGUGGCGAAGGCGGCUCUCUGGCCUAGAACUGACGCUAAAGCGCGAAAGCGUGGGGAGCGAACGGG